GCCUCGGUAGCUCAGUCGGCAGAGCGCGUGCCUUUUAAGCCCGUGGCCGCGGGUUCGAGCCCCGCCCGAGGU
rnacentral:tRNA from 1 species